GUCUAUGGCCACACCACCCUGAACACGCCCCAUCUCGUCCGAUCUCGGAAGCUAAGCAGGGUCGGGCCUGGUGAGUGCUUGGAGGGGGAGAAUUUUAACCUUCUGUACAAUAAAAGACACCGAAAAUA
rnacentral:rRNA from 1 species